rnacentral:rRNA from 3 species
GUGCAAUGGCAUAAGCCAGCUUGACUGCGAGCGUGACGGCGCGAGCAGGUGCGAAAGCAGGUCAUAGUGAUCCGGUGGUUCUGAAUGGAAGGGCCAUCGCUCAACGGAUAAAAGGUACUCCGGGGAUAACAGGCUGAUACCGCCCAAGAGUUCAUAUCGACGGCGGUGUUUGGCACCUCGAUGUCGGCUCAUCACAUCCUGGGGCUGAAGUAGGUCCCAAGGGUAUGGCUGUUCGCCAUUUAAAGUGGUACGCGAGCUGGGUUUAGAACGUCGUGAGACAGUUCGGUCCCUAUCUGCCGUGGGCGCUGGAGAACUGAGGGGGGCUGCUCCUAGUACGAGAGGACCGGAGUGGACGCAUCACUGGUGUUCGGGUUGUCAUGCCAAUGGCACUGCCCGGUAGCUAAAUGCGGAAGAGAUAAGUGCUGAAAGCAUCUAAGCACGAAACUUGCCCCGAGAUGAGUUCUCCCUGAGACUUAGAGUCUCCUGAAGGAACGUUGAAGACGACGACGUUGAUAGGCCGGGUGUGUAAGCGCAGCGAUGCGUUGAGCUAACCGGUACUAAUGAACCGUGAGGCUUAACCUUACA